rnacentral:rRNA from 1 species
GUGGGGAAUAUUGGGCAAUGGGGGAAACCCUGACCCAGCAACGCCGCGUGAAGGACGAAGGCCUUCGGGUUGUAAACUUCUUUGAUCAGGGACGAACGAAAUGACGGUACCUGAAGAACAAGCCACGGCUAACUACGUGCCAGCAGCCGCGGUAAUACGUAGGUGGCGAGCGUUAUCCGGAUUUACUGGGUGUAAAGGGCGUGCAGGCGGGUCCGCAAGUCGGGUGUGAAAUAUCCGGGCUUAACCCGGAAAGGUCAUUCGAAACUGCGGAUCUUGAGUACUGGAGAGGACAGUGGAAUUCCUGGUGUAGCGGUAAAAUGCGUAGAUAUCAGGAGGAACACCAGUGGCGAAGGCGGCUGUCUGGACAGUAACUGACGCUGAGGCGCGAAAGCGUGGGGAGCAAACAGGAUUAGAAACCCGAGUAGUCC